UACAGAGGUCCCAAGCGUUGUUCGGAUUCACUGGGCGUAAAGGGUGCGUAGGCGGUGGGGUGAGUUUGGGGUGAAAUCUCCGGGCCCAACCCGGAAAAUGCCUUGAAUACUAUCCUGCUUGAGGAUCGGAGGGGAGACUGGAAUUCUCGGUGUAGCAGUGAAAUGCGUAGAUAUCGAGAGGAACACCAGUGGCGAAGGCGGGUCUCUGGGCCGAUACUGACGCUGAGGAGCGAAAGCGUGGGGAGCGAACAGG
rnacentral:rRNA from 1 species